GCUACACAAGAGGCUGCUGAAAUCCAGCAUUUGUUUUCAGAUACACGUUGAUGCUUUUUAAGGAAAUGAUUGUAAACCAGAGAAUUCUUUAAAACAACGUUGGUCACAGCUUUUCCAGCAUCGGCGCAAACUGAGUAAAUAAGGGGAAGCUUAAAGGAUCCAUGGAAGGGUGAGUGAGAACAUUGCUGAGAUGCUCGCAGUGCCAGGGGAGCACAUCGGCAGUGAUAAGGUGGAGGAAUGGAAAGCUGUGCUCGUGCACCCGCGGGAGACCCCGGUGUCCUUGCCAGCAGCACCUGCCAUGCAGCAGAGGAGCGGCUUCUGCGUUGGAGAGAUGCUGCAUUCCCCAGGUGCAAGGAACACUGUGCAGUUUGCCAGUCAACAGAGCAUCUCAAACGUGUGCACUCAGCCGCGGGGACUGACCUCACCGGAGCUCUCAAGUGAAGAAGGGUAUGACAGGAUAGAGGAGGACACCAGACUGGCAGUGAAUUGCACAGAAGAGAUGUCCUACAGGAAAAGUCAUGAACCAGGAAAAUAG
rnacentral:lncRNA from 1 species